UACGUAGGAGGCAAGCGUUGUCCGGAUUUACUGGGCGUAAAGAGCGUGUAGGCGGCAUGGCAAGUCUGCUGUGAAAGCUCUCGGCUUAACCGGGAGAGGUCGGUAGAAACUGCCAAGCUUGAGGACGGUAGGAGGGGGUGGAAUUCCCGGUGUAGUGGUGAAAUGCGUAGAUAUCGGGAGGAACAUCAGUGGCGAAAGCGGCACCCUGGCAUUAGCCUGACGCUCAGGUGCGAAAGCGUGGGGAGCGAACGGG
rnacentral:rRNA from 1 species